rnacentral:lncRNA from 1 species
CUCAUUGGAGAAGAGCCAUCCUUAAACUCCCAUUCAUCAUCACCCAAGUCAUCCUCACCAUUCACCAGAUUUGAAUUUGAGGCUGAAUCUUGUGGAUUGUCACUAAUGCUAUUUGGCAGUUGAACAGAGUGAGCAGGUGAGAUUUGUUCAGCUUGGCUAUACAAAUUUGAAAUGAGAUCAUUAAUGGAAAUAUUUGAAUCUGGACUUCUAUCAUUCUUCGAGUAAGAAUUAUUAUGGGGGACAAAAAUAUCUUCAAUAUUAGAUGAAACAUCCAUCUCCUGCUCUUCAUCACCAAAUAUUGAUAGGGGAAGAGCCCCUUUAUGAUUGUUAUCCGUUCUCAUGGGAGAAGAGCCAUCCUUAAACUCCCAUUCAGUAUCAUCCAAGUCAUCCUCACCAUUCACCAGAUUUGAAUUUAAGACUGAAUCUUGUGGACUGUCGCUAAUGCUAUUUGGCACUUGAACAGAGCGAGCAGGUGAGAUUUGUUCAGCUUGGCUAUAUAAAUUUGAAAUGAGAUCAUUAAUGGAAAUAUUUGAAUCUGGACUUCUAUCAUUCUUCGAGUAAGAAGCAUUAUGGGGGACAAAAAUAUCUUCAAUAUUAGAUGAAACAUCCAU